UCAAGCGAAAGAAUGUAUGUGGGGGAUGCCUGGGUACACGGAGGCGAUGAAGGCCGUGGUAAGCUGCGAUAAGCCGGGGGGAGCUGCACACAAGCUAUGAGCCCCGGAUGGCCGAAUGGGGAAACCCGUUUGUCAGUAAUGACAAUCACACUCUUCGGAGUGAGCUAACUGAGGGAACUGAAACAUCUAAGUACCUCAAGGAAAGAGAAAUCAACCGAGAUGCCCCAAGUAGCGGCGAGCGAAAGGGGCCCUAGUCCAAACCAUUACUCCUUGUGGGUAGUGGGGUUGUAGGAGCCACAGACGGUACGACCAAGUGUCAGCGGAAUUCUCCUGGAACGGAGAGCCAUAGACGGUGAUAGCCCGGUACGCAAAGACCAGAGGUCGUGCUAGUGGAUUUCCUGAGUAACGCCCGAGUUCCGAGGAAUCGGGCGUGAAGCCGGGGGGACCACCCUCCAAGGCUAAAGACUCCCGUGUGACCGAUAGUGAACGAGUACCGUGAGGGACAGGUGAAAAGCACCCCUGGGCGGGGAGUGAAAGAGGACCUGAAACCACAUACCUACAAGCGGUAGGAGGCUGGGCUGGGGGCAACCCUGGUCACGGCUGACUGCGUGCCUUUUGCAUUAUGAUCCGGCGAGUUACUGCUCGGCAGCAAGGCUAAGGUGCUCAGCACCGGAGCCACAGCGAAAGCGAGUCCUGCAAAGAGGGCGACUGGAGUUGCCGGGCGUAGACCCGAAGCCAGGGCGAUCUACCCAUGAGCAGGGUGAAGCUGGGGUAACACCCAGUGGAGGCCCGAACCGGUGUGGGUUGAAAACCGCUCGGAUGACUUGUGGGUAGGGGUGAAAGGCCAAUCAAGCCUGGAGAUAGCUGGUUCUCCCCGAAAUCUAUUGAGGUAGAGCCUCGAGGCGUGGUCCGUGGGGGUAGAGCGACUGGAUGGGCGCGGGGGCCAGAGCGGCCUACCAACCCCAACCAAACUCCGAAUACCCGACUGAUGGACCUCGGGAGGCAGUCGCUGAGCGAUAAUGUCCAGCGGCGAGAGGGAAAGAACCCAGAGCCACAGCUAAGGCCCCGAAGUGGCCGCUGAGUAUAGCGAAGGAUGUGUCCGUGCCGAGACAACGAGGAGGUUGGCUUAGAAGCAGCCAUUCCUUUAAAGAGUGCGUAAUAGCUCACUCGUCCAGCGUGGAUGCGCCGAGAAUGGUCGGGAUUAAGCGGCCCGCCGAAGCUUGGCCUUCAUACUUAGGUAUGAGGGGUAGGAGAGCGUUCCGGGAGCAGUGAAGGGCCGGUGGAAACCUUGGCCUGGAGCGACCGGAAGUGAGGAUGCCGGAAUGAGUACGCGCAAAUGGGGGUGAGAACCCCCCACACCGUAAGCCCAAGGGUUCCUGCGCCAUGGCAAUCAGCGCAGGGUGAGGCGGGUCCUAAGGCGAGGCCCCAGAGGCGUAGCCGAUGGUAAGCCGGUCAAGAUUCCGGCCCCGUUCUUUAGUCGUUGAACCCCAGCGGGACCGUGGAACGAAGCGGGAGCGGCCUUGUGGAUUGGCCGUCUAAGGCAGUAGGGCUUCGGCCCGAGAGCUGAUGGCGAGGGUGAGGCUUCGGCCGACCCCGAGUCCUGUGGAGUCGACACGCGAGAAAAGCGCUGGGCGGAGGCUAGGGAGCGUCCGUACCGUAAACCGACACAGGUGGGCGAGGCGAGUAGCCUCAGGUGAACGAGUGAAACCGGGUCAAGGAACUCGGCAUAAUGAUCCCGUAACUUCGGAAGAAGGGAUGCCGACGGCGGUUGUUGGAUUUACUCCAGCUGCUGCUGUUGGUCGCAGAUAAUCGGCCCAAGCGACUGUUUAGCAAAAACACAGGUGUGUGCCAAGCCGCACAAGGCGCCGUAUACACACUGACGCCUGCCCGGUGCCGGAAGGUUAAGGGGAGAGGUUAGCGGGGUAACCUGCGACGCUUUGAGCCGAAGCCCCGGUAAACGGCGGCCGUAACUAUAACGGUCCUAAGGUAGCGAAAUUCCUUGUCGGGUAAGUUCCGACC
rnacentral:rRNA from 1 species